rnacentral:rRNA from 1 species
AGUGAACGCUGGCGGUAGGCCUAACACAUGCAAGUCGAACGGCAGCACAGUAAGAGCUUGCUCUUACGGGUGGCGAGUGGCGGACGGGUGAGGAAUACAUCGGAAUCUACUUUUUCGUGGGGGAUAACGUAGGGAAACUUACUCUAAUACCGCAUACGACCUACGGGUGAAAGCAUGGGAUCUUCGGACCUUGCGCGAUUGAAUGAGCCGAUGUCGGAUUAGCUAGUUGGCUGGGUAAAGGCCCACCAAGGCGACGAUCCGUAGCUGGUCUGAGAGGAUGGUCAGCCACACGGGAACUGAGCCAGGGUCCAGACUCCUGCGGGAGGCAGCAGUGGGGAAUAUUGGACAAUGGGCGCAAGCCUGAUACAGCCAUACCGCGUGGGUGAAGAAGGCCUUCGGGUUGUAAAGCCCUUUUGUUGGGAAAGAAAAGCAGCAGGUUAAUACGCCGCUGUUCUGACGGUACCCAAAGAAUAAGCACCGGCUAACUUCGUG